rnacentral:tRNA from 1 species
GGUUGUGGCUCAGUGGUAAAGCGUUUGCCUAGCAUGCAUGAGGCACUGGGUUCGAUUCUCAGCACCA